AUUGAACGCUGGCGGCAUGCUUUACACAUGCAAGUCGAACGGUAACAGGCCUUCGGGUGCUGACGAGUGGCGAACGGGUGAGUAAUGCAUCGGAACGUACCCAGAGGUGGGGGAUAACGCAGCGAAAGCUGUGCUAAUACCGCAUGUGAUCUGAGGAUGAAAGCGGGGGACCGAGCAGCAAUGUUUGGCCUCGCGCCUUUGGAGCGGCCGAUGUCGGAUUAGCUAGUUGGUGGGGUAAAGGCCUACCAAGGCGACGAUCCGUAGCUGGUCUGAGAGGACGAACAGCCACCGUGGGAGUGAGACACGGCCCAGACGCCAGCGGGAGGCAGCAGUGGGGAAGUGGGGACAAUGGGCGCAAGCCUGAUCCAGCAAGGCCGCGGGAGGGAAGAAGGCACUCGGGUUGUAAACCGCUUUUGGCAGGAACGAAACGGUGGCCGCUAAUACCGGGCGCUAAGGACGGGACCUGAAGAAUAAGCACGGGCUAACUUCGUG
rnacentral:rRNA from 1 species